rnacentral:rRNA from 1 species
ACCCCUGUGACAUACCUAUACGUUGCCUCGGCGGAUCAGCCCGCGCCCCGUAAAACGGGACGGCCCGCCCGAGGACCCCUAAACUCUGUUUUUAGUGGAACUUCUGAGUAAAACAAACAAAUAAAUCAAAACUUUCAACAACGGAUCUCUUGGUUCUGGCAUCGAUGAAGAACGCAGCAAAAUGCGAUAAGUAAUGUGAAUUGCAGAAUUCAGUGAAUCAUCGAAUCUUUGAACGCACAUUGCGCCCGCCAGUAUUCUGGCGGGCAUGCCUGUUCGAGCGUCAUUUCAACCCUCAAGCUCAGCUUGGUGUUGGGACUCGCGGUAACCCGCGUUCCCCAAAUCGAUUGGCGGUCACGUCGAGCUUCCAUAGCGUAGUAAUCAUACACCUCGUUACUGGUAAUCGUCGCGGCCACGCCGUUUAACCCCAACUUCUGAAUGUUGACCUCGGAUCAGGUAUGAAUACCCGCUGAACUUAAGCAUAUCAAUAAGCGGAGGAA